UCCUCGUUUAAGCGAGGCAGUCUGUCCAGAGUGCUUUCUUCUCUCGAAGGAGUGGCAACAGGACACAAGGGUUGCGCUCGUUGCGGGACUUAACCCAACAUCUCACGACACGAGCUGACGACAACCAUGCACCACCUGUAAACCGGCCACAAGUGGCUGACACAUCUCUGCGCCAUUCCGGUUCAUGUCAAGCCUAGGUAAGGUUCUUCGCGUUGCAUCGAAUUAAGCCACAUGCUCCGCCGCUUGUGCGGGCCCCCGUCAAUUCCUUUGAGUUUUAGCCUUGCGGCCGUACUCCCCAGGCGGGGUGCUUAAUGCGUUAGCUUCGGAACGGAGAGGGUUGAAGGCCUCCCCACACCUAGCACCCAACGUUUACGGCUGGGACUAC
rnacentral:misc_RNA from 1 species